UACGGGGGGGGCAAGCGUUGUUCAGAAUUACUGGGCGUAAAGGGCGCGUAGGCGGCCUGCUAAGUCGGACGUGAAAUCCCUCGGCUCAACCGAGGAACUGCGUCCGAUACUGGUGGGCUUGAAUCCGGGAGAGGGAUGUGGAAUUCCAGGUGUAGCGGUGAAAUGCGCAGAUAUCAGGAGGAACACCUAUUGCGAAGGCAGCUCGCUGGGACGUUACUGACGCUGAGACGCGAAAGCGUGGGGAGCAAACAGG
rnacentral:rRNA from 1 species